rnacentral:sRNA from 1 species
AAAUUGUCAAAAAUUUUUGUUUUUUUCUAUGACUUAGAUGAUAUGCAGACUCAAAUGAUAUUCACAAAAAACAAGUCAAAUACGUCUUGAACCCUCCCCCAAACUUAAAUUACACAGUCCCUUGUGCAAUAAAAAUUUGUGAAAGAAUUCAAGAUAAACACAAAAACAAAAACAAAAGGGGUAUUUACAAAGGAUUUUGGUGUGUUACCUUAGUAUAAUGUCCUGGAGAUGUAGUCAUCCAUAUCUGCUUGAGUGUACUCAGCAGGCAUGACCAGUUCUUGAUGUGGCUCCGCCAUCUCCUCGUCAUUGUGCUUGAUCGCAACCCCAGCAGGUUGUGCAUCACGACGCUCAGGUGUUCUCCGACCCUUGCUUGAUGAUCGGACCAUCCUAGCGCUCUUCCGCCUCUUGUGCUCCCUAACCUCGUGAGACGAGUGUCGUGCGGGUUCUUGCGGUACAGUGUGUUCUCUCUGUUGAUAAGCAGAUUGCCUUGGCGGGGCAAUGUCAUGACGCCUGGAUGGCAUGUCUUCCGGCGGAUUGUCUCUGGUGAUUGCACUGGUGGAUGUGGUGCAACUGAUUGCCUUCUGCAUGUUGUCAAUGGCCUUGACACACUUAUGAAUGAUCUUGUCUUGAAACUUGCACCACCUUUGGGUUAGACUGAGCUUCUAGUGUGCUUCAGCGAGACUCUUGCUUUCUCAUGAAGGGGGCUUGUGUUCUUCAAAGUGGUAAUGGCUCGUGUCAUAGUUCUUCCAGUUGGUCUCCUCAUUGUCACUCUGACCCUCUACUUCUUCAACAUUACGGGACGCGGAUCCUCCAAUCAUAGCAUGGAGGAUUUCUUGUGGUGGCGAGAAGUCGAUGUUGUCUCUCACCGUGAUGGUUGUCAUUUCACUGAAUCGGAGAAGAAUAGUGGCUUCUCCUAUUGACGGGUGAUCAAACUUGAAAGCGUACCUCCCAUCAUAGACCUUAUGCUCGAUCACAUGGGCAAGCUUGAGAUGGGCGAUAUCCAUCCAACGUGGUUGGAUCGGAUCUAGUCGCAGCGGGACAUCGCACGAUAGGAGGAUUGGUGUGACCACUCCUCCAAUGCAAAGGGCUCCUUUCGCUUUCUUCUUGUCAUUGGCCAGCGCCCACCCUCUGUAGCUGCAUAAGUGAUUGAGAAGAUACAUUGACAGAGGUGUGUCAUUGGUAUCUCCCUUCAUCGUUUUCCCGUCCUUGGUGCAACGGAGGAAACUUAGCAGCGCCAGGUUGUCUUCGUUCGUUACAGUGGCGGAUAUCUCCCUAGCGUAAGGGACAUUGGCCAUGGCUCUCUGGAAAUAGCGAAUGGCGGGAUUGCGAAUGGAGUUGCUCUUGGAUCUAGCGGAGUUGAAGCUAGUGGUGUCUCCGAUCGUGUUCCACAAAGAUUUUAAUUCUUCUCGAGCAAACUUCGGUUUCGUUCCUGUGCCACUGGGAAACCCGAACAUGGAUUCAAGCAUUUUGAUCGCCAUGAUAUAGUCGCGCUCGUCGAUAGUGAAGCUUAAGUAACCAAGCCCUUCUUCCCUUAACUCAGCAGCUGACAACCCCUCAAACAAUUCCACUUGAAGUGAUGAAAGGAAUUGAAGUGUCUCAUCCUCAUAGGUAGGAUAGGGAUGAGACAUGAGUGUUGUCAUGUGGCAUUUCUCGAACAAGAGCUGAACGUCUACCAGAAUGCCUAACUCCACCAUUGUCUCCGGGUGAGGAUAUCUUGUUCCCCAAAACGGAUUUCUUUUGAGAACCUUGUAGUAGUCUCCCGGG